rnacentral:rRNA from 1 species
UAGGGUGCAAGCGUUGUCCGGAAUUAUUGGGCGUAAAGAGAUCGUAGGCGGUUUUUCGCGUCGGAUGUGAAAACUCAGGGCUCAACCCUGAGCCUGCAUUCGAUACGGGAAGAAUAGAGGUCGGCAGGGGAGACUGGAACUUCUGGUGUAGCGGUGGAAUGCGCAGAUAUCAGAAAGAACACCAAUGGCGAAGGCAGGUCUCUGGGCCGAUCCUGACCCUGAGGAACGAAAACGUGGGGAGCAAACAGGAUUAGAUACCCUGGUAGUCCACGCCGUAAACGAUGGGCGCUAGGUGUGGGGGACAUUCCACGUUCUCUGCGCCGCAGCUAACGCAUUAA